AAAGCGUGUAGGAGGAGGACCAGGCAAAUCCGGGCCUCAUAUACUCUGAGACGUGAUACCGAGCCGCUUCAGGCGAAGUCAUUAAUCCUAUGCUGCCUAGAAAAGCCCAGUAGCGAGUUGACAUGGUGCCCGUACCCCAAACCAACACAGGUGGACAGGUAGGGCAUACCAAGGCGAGUGGGAUAACUAUGGUUAAGGAACUCGGCAAAUUUCCUCCGUAACUUCGGGAUAAGGAGGACCCCAGUAGCGUGACGAGACUUGCUCUCCGAGCGUGAAGGGGUGGCACAAAAUUGAGGGAAGCGACUGUUUACCAAAAACACAGCAGCGUGCUAAGCCGUAAGGCGCUGUAUACGCUGUGACUCCUGCCCGGUGCUGGAAGGUUACGGGGAUGGGUUAGUCCUUUGGGACGAAGCUCUGAACCUAAGCCCCAGUAAACGGCGGCCGUAACUAUAACGGUCCUAAGGUAGCGAAAUUCCUUGUCGGGUAAGUUCCGACCUGCACGAAUGGAGUAACGACUUCCCUACUGUCUCAACCAUAGACCCAGCGAAAUUGAAGUACGAGUAAAGAUGCUCGUUAGCUGCAGAAGGACGGAAAGACCCCGUGGACCUUUACUAUAACUUGAUGUUGUGUUUUGUCAUAUGUUGUGUAGGAUAGGUGGGAGACAAGGAAGCAUGGACGCUAGUCUGUGUGGAGUCAUCGUUGAAAUACCACCCUGCAUAUGGUGAGGCUCUAACCUAGACCCGUUAUCCGGGUUGGGGACAGCGUCAGGCGGGUAGUUUAACUGGGGCGGUUGCCUCCUAAAGAGUAACGGAGGCGCCCAAAGGUUCCCUCAGCCUGGUUGGCAAUCAGGCGUCGAGUGCAAUGGCAAAAGGGAGCUUGACUGCGAGACCUACAAGUCGAGCAGGAGCGAAAGCUGGGCAUAGUGAUCCGGCGGUUGCGUGUGGAAGCGCCGUCGCUCAACGGAUAAAAGGUACCCCGGGGAUAACAGGCUAAUCUUGCCCAAGCGUCCAUAGCGACGGCAAGGUUUGGCACCUCGAUGUCGGCUCAUCGCAUCCUGGGGCUGAAGCAGGUCCCAAGGGUUGGGCUGUUCGCCCAUUAAAGCGGUACGCGAGCUGGGUUCAGAACGUCGUGAGACAGUUCGGUCCCUAUCCUCUGUAGCCGUAGGUGAAUUGAGGAAAGCUGUCCCUAGUACGAGAGGACCGGGACGGACGCAGCUCUCGUGUGCCAGUUGUCCUGCCAAGGGCAUGGCUGGUUAGCGACCUGCGGAAAGGAUAACCGCUGAAAGCAUCUAAGCGGGAAGCCUCUUCCAAGAUGAAUUCACCCACAGGGUUAACCUGGUAAGGCCCGUGGUAGACCACCACGUUGAUAGGCCGGAAGUGUAAGCGUGGCAACACGUUCAGCUGACCGGUACUAAUCGGCCGAGGGCUUGAAGC
rnacentral:rRNA from 1 species